ensembl:snoRNA
GAGCAAUGAUGAAAAGAUUUUAUGACCGACCUUUUUAACUAUGACGGUUUCUACACUUGAUCUGAGCGCA